AUUAGUCAGCUCAGGCUGGUCAGCUAUUGUAAGAAGAACUGUAAGAAAUUAUCAAUCUUACGCUUGUCUUUUUGAAUUCUCCAUAAUUUAAGCAUAUUAUCGGUAAUAAUAAAAAAACAAAUUCUAAUUUAUGAAGUGUUUAUACAAUACUAUCAAAAAAUUGAGUUCACAAACUUCUUUUUCAAGAAAAAUAUUUCAAUGCUGACAUAUAGUCGUGCAAUCAUGAUCCAUUCCAACAUACUUGUCUCCUAGGAAGCAAACUGGAAAGUGUUUAGAAAAACAAGGUUUCAAAGUUUGGUCUUGUUAUCUCAAUCUAAUUGGUGAGACUGAUUCCUUCGUUGACCAAUUGGCUAUUGUCUCAGUCGUGAUGACUCAAUAAUGCUGAUGACUGUAUUUGAUGCUGCAGUACUUGAGCGAACACUCUGUAGUUUGAGUUCUGCUCAUUAUUUUACAAGUAAGCUCAGGAGAUUUUCAUUUAUUAUUUUCUUUUUGAUUUGCUGGUCGACUAUUUCACUUUCAUUGAGUAAUUAUGAGUGAAUAACAGGGCAUGCAACCGGCAAUUCUGACUCUGCUGAGCCCUGAGGUUUAUUUUCACCGGCACGAAGCGUGACAGAAGUCAUUAAAGAAGUAGAUGUGAACUGCAUCUGAGAUAUAUGGGUUGUAAAUAUUCUUUAAAACCGACCUAUCUACCAGUUCAUUUCGACCGGUACAAAUUGAAUUAACAUAAACCUUUAAUUUUUUAAAUACCUAUUUCCAUUUGAUGCAUUUUUUUCGGGGAGCGAAUCGCCGUUGCUGUGGGGGACUUUUACAGGUAACCAAGCACGGACCGUAUCAAGCAGGUGUUGAAGAAACAACCUAUGGAAGGGACAUCUGCUUACAAUGAAGUGCAGUUUAGAAUGAUUCCAAUACAUUUGUUUUAAAAAAUAUUUGCCAGAAUAAAUGAUCUUAAACAUUUGACAUUCUGCCCUUAGUAAAUUUUAACAAAAAAAAUAUUGGGAUCAAUAAUGAAAAACUGUCGAGUUCAUACGCUCGCAGAUAAAAUUCAAUUAACUCCUUCUGUAGAGUUCAUAACU